ACUCAAAUGAAUUGACGGGGGCCCGCACAAGCGGUGGAGCAUGUGGUUUAAUUCGACGAUACGCGAGAAACCUUACCUGGGUUUGACAUGGAUUUGACUGGGGUAGAGAUACCCCUUCCCGCAAGGGCAGAUUCACAGGUGUUGCAUGGUCGUCGUCAGCUCGUGUUGUGAGAUGUUGGGUUAAGUCCCGCAACGAGCGCAACCCCUAUCUUCUGUUGCCAAUAUUAAGUUAGGCACUCUGAAGAAACCGCCGGUGACAAACCGGAGGAAGGUGGGGAUGACGUCAGAUCAGCAUGGCCCUUAUAUCCAGGGCUACACACGUGCUACAAUGGCCGGUACAGAGGGACGCAAAGCCGCGAGGUGGAGCAAAUCCCACAAAGCCGGUCUCAGUUCAGAUUGCAGUCUGCAACUCGACUGCAUGAAGUCGGAAUCGCUAGUAAUCGCAAAUCAUCAUGUUGCGGUGAAUACGUUCCCGGGCCUUGUACACACCGCCCGU
rnacentral:rRNA from 1 species